rnacentral:ncRNA from 1 species
UGAACGAUCCUAAGUAUUGCUCCACGAGUGGCAGUUACUCUAGGGAUAACGCGUUGAUCUCCCCGGAAAGUUCGUACUGGCUGGGAAGGUUGGCACCUUAAUAUCGGCUCGUCGAAUCGUGAGGCUAAAGUAGGUGGGAAGGCUUGGCCUGUUCGCCCAAUAAAGCGCCACGUGAGCCGGGAUCAGAACACCGCGGAAUAGCUCGGUCCAUA